CCUACGGGAGGCAGCAGUGGGGAAUAUUGGUCAAUGGAGGCAACCCUGACCCAGCAAUGCCGCGUGAAGGAUGAAGGCUUUCGGGUUGUAAACUUCUUUUCCAGGGGAAGAGCAAAGUGCGGUAACCUUAGAACUAACCCCGGCUAACUACGUUCCAGCCGCCGCCGGUAUACCGAGGAGGCAGGCGUUGUCCGGAUUUACUGGGAGGAAAGGGUUUGUAGGCGGGAAGGCAAGUCAGGUGUGAAAUCUGGAGGCUCAACCUCCGCACUGCCUCCGAAACUGUUUUUCUUGAGUACUGGAGAGGCAGAUGGAAUUCCUAGUGUAGCGGUGAAAUGCGCAGAUAUAAGGAGGAACACCAGUGGCGAAGGCGAUCUGCUGGACAGUAACUGACGGUGAGGCGCGAAAGCGUGGGGAGCAAACAGGAUUAGAUACCCGAGUAGUC
rnacentral:rRNA from 1 species